rnacentral:rRNA from 1 species
AGGUCUGCAUAAUAUAAUGCAGUCGAGCGGAAGGUCCUGAGCUUGGUCCCUGGCUCCAGUGGCGAACGGGUGAGUAACACGUGAGCAACCUGCCCGUGACAUUGGGAUAACUCCGGGAAACCGGGGCUAAUACCGGAUAAUUCUUUCUGCUGCAUGGUGAAAAGCUGAAAAAUUUCGUCUGUUGGUCAUUUACUCACGGCUCAUCAGCUUGUUGGUGGGUUAGUGAGUUACCGGGGCUUUGACGGAUAGACGGCCUGCCAACCUGACCGGGCAAUUUGCCACUGAGGUACGGACCAAACUCCUACAGUCGGCAGGAGGGGGGAAUAUUGCAAUCUGCCCGGAAGCCUGAUGCACUGACGCCGCGUGCGGGAUGACGGCCUUCGGGUUUUAAACCGCUUUCGCCUGUGACGAAGGGAGAGUGACGGCCAUGGGUAAAGAAGCACCCCUUAACUACGUGCCACCAGCCGCGGCGAUACAACUACGUGCGAGCGUUGUCCGGAUUUAUUGGGUGUAAAGGGCUCGUCCGGAAUUUUAUCGCGUCAGAAGUGUAAUCUUGGGUUCUUAACCCUGAAUGUGCUAUCCACCGGGUCUGACUUGAAGGAGGUUUGGAAGAUGGGAAUUCCUGGUGCAGAGGAGAAAAGCGCAGAUCUCCGGAGGAACACCAAAUGCGAAGGCAUUUCUCUGAACCUUUCCUGACACUGAGACUCUUAGGCCUGUAACAGCGAACAGGCUUAGAUACCCUGGGGACCACACUGUAUUACGGUGCCCUGCUAGGUGUCGGCGUCCAUUCCUCAGGGUCCGCGGCUUAACUGACUCUUCCCUUACCCCGUCUGGCGAGUACAUCCGCAAGGCUACCAGUCAAAUGCAGUGACAGGGCUCCACAUCAAAGGAUGUGACAUGCGGCUUGAUCAGAUGCGGCGCGUGGAGCUUUACUUGGAGUUGACAUGGAACGCUUCGCUCACAUGUCGUGCCCUCUUUCUAGACAUAGCCCAGUCCCUUCUGGGUACCGUAGACUCGUGGCGCAUGAUGUGCGUUACUCCCGCCACGAGAGCAGCCUUAAUUACUGCU